CACCAGACUGGUGCUUUUGUGAAGCCUUUGGCAGCUUUGAAAUGCAGACAUUAGUAAUGAAAUGUAUUGGCAAUCCUUACAAGAAGUUCAGCUAUUAUAAAGGACUUGCAAGGAGUGAAAUUUCUCGUGCCUUGCAGAUAUGAGGACGAUGCAAACUCAAUAUAAUGGACACUAUAGUAGUGAAGCACACUUGGAAAAAGGCAGAGAAGCUUCUGAGUUGCCUUUCAAAAUUUCUUCAAAAUAAUAAAAAGGACGAAUUAAGUUAGAGAUCCUAGCUAUAAAAGCAAAUGGGACUAAGGUACUGGAAGAAGCAGUCAGUAUAUCAAGAAACUACCUAUGAAAGAUUAUGCAUGGCACAGUACCAUGUUGAGGGGAAUAGCUAGGCUGACAUAACUCAUAGAGGCAGCCAGACAGAGGAAUAAUUUUCUAGUUAUCAACAGCUCACACAUGAGAUUUUUAUCUUCCACUCUACACUCUUUUUGCCCUGCAGAUAACAGCUUCGGUAGAGAAAGGAUGGGAGCUGGGAUAUAUUUUACUAUGAGUAUGACCACCUCACUAACUCAGGCUGUACAGAAGCCAAGAAGUGGGAAAAAUAUAUUCUUGCUUCACUGAUGAAGUAAAUGGAUUAAGGUGACAGUGUUUCCUCUGCAACAGACUGCCAAGUAAAGAGCUGCUUAUGAAUGCAUCUUUAGGGGUAUCGGCUGUUUCCUGCCAGGGAUAGCACCACAGACACUUCUUUAUGCCUGUAUCAACUUAAUCCAUUUUUGUCCCAGUGAGUAAAUGAGCAGUGAAAUGAGUAAUGAGACAAGUGAAGGUACGAACAGAAAAAUAGCUAGUACAAAGUUUACGUAUAAUUAAAACCAAAAUCAAAAUAAACAAAACAACAACAACCCCCACACUCACUCACAGGGCAAAUUGUAUGAAUGAGAAGAGGAAAGGCGGCUGUUUCCUCUGCCUGGCCAGAGGAUGAAGAAUCUCUCCAAAGUGUUCAGGCCCCUGAUGAGGCAGAUGGGUCAUCAGGAUCAGGGCAGGCACUGCACAGUUGCCUUUCAACACUUGAUUUGAAAAUCUCUUUCUCCCAUUUUAAACAGGUAACAGCAGAGUCACACAGGUAAAAUGUACAUAGGACCAGCUUACAUUAGUGGUUGGGUCAACGACAAAAGAAGUGAGCUUGAACUUUUUGCUCCAAAAAGGAAAACUUUAAAAUAACAUUUCAAAUCCCCUUUUUAGUUGUCUCAAAGGGUGAACUCUCCCCUUCUAAAGGGGAUACUGGGCUUUUUUCUUCUUUUCUCUCAUUUACAAAAUUACUUUUUGUGCACAUUCUAAUGCAUUUUAUAGAGUUUUUAAAAGACAGCUUUACCAGCUGUCAGCUCCCAGCUACACUUAACUUUCUAUGAUUUAGCACCUAUUCAGGCAAUGUUAACUUUACAUUUAAUAGUCAAUGAUUUUUACCUAAACACAAAAUAUAAACAUUUUUCAGGAGCUUAAUGCACCAAAAUCUACCCAGCUCUCCGUAACAUCAGGUCCUUUUUUCAUAACCUUGUUUCAUAUUUUGCAUAACACUUAAAAGGGGGAGGGUGGUGAAGGGUGGGGAGAAGCCCUCUAAUUAAGGCAGUUGAGUGGAAUGCUCUGGUAAGAAAAACUCAAUAUUUUCAUGUUUGCAAAAAGUCACUGGUCAGAUUAUAUGACCUCUUCUUAUGCAGGAAUUCAUGACAGGAAGUGCAGUGACUGUAGCAGCAUUAUCGCAUUACAGGGUCCAAGGACAUUUGUAGGCUCUGUACUAGUAGAAGAAGUAGAUAUGCAUCACCUUUUCUGUUUCUUCCCAUUUGCUCAUCCUCAUGCCGCACCUACGCAAUGCUUGUAAUGACUUUCCACUUUCAUUGUACAUUAUUCUCGUUGCCUUUCUCAAUGCCUUCCAUGCCCUGCACGUUUAUCAAGAUAAAUUUGGAUUCAUAAAGUUAAUAACUGUAACCCCAGUCCAGAGGAAGACAGCCAACCUAUGAACAGUUCCACAGACAUGACUACUUACAGGCUUAAAUUUAGGCAGGUGCUGCUGACUACAGAAAAAAGGUGCAGUGUUCCCAGCCCGUAUUUGAGUGGCUCUUCCAAGGAAAAAUAUUUGCAAAGUUUUUCAGACAGUGAAACAAUAAGCUAUCGCCCUCCUUGAACCCUUUCUUUGACUUCCAUCAUUUUUUUUCAGAUAAUUCUCACUCCCCCAAGUCUCUGUUCUCUUCCAAUAGUCAAUGCACGACAGGCUUAAAGCAACCUGGAUAAAAUUUGGCCAGGCUGGGGAAUGUCACAAUGAGGCUCAGUCAGGGUAAUACAGUUGCAGUCUUUGCUACUGCUCCCAUAAUAAGCUGAACAAUUUCCAUCAUCAUGUCCUGUACAUUGGGCUUAAUUGGCCCAGUCUCUCUGAGGAAAGGCAGCAAUAUUGAUUUACUGCACUGUAUAAAUGUGUUUAUAGCUUGGCACUAGCAUACUUAUACUCACUUUUUUCCAACGUGGAUUUCAAAUAAGCCCUUUGCUCAAAUGAGUUUAUUAACUUUAAAAUGCCUGAAGCUAAAUCUGAAUUAUGAGAGGUAAGCUUUGGGAAGCUCCAGGAAUUGCUCAUGGAGUCUUCUGUUAGUACCAGUUGUGACUGAUUUGUAAGCAUCACCAGUGGAAAAAUAAUUAAGUAAAAGCAAACCUGGAGGCACACAUCACCUCAGUCUGAGCUGCCUUUUGCUUCAGUUGGCACUCAGGCCCAGUGGAUUCUAUGGGAUUGCUUGAGCAGCUCUUGAUUUAAGCCAAUGUGAAAUCAGAGUAUAAUCUAUUGCUUCCUCUUUUUAUGAAUUUCAUUUUUAAUAGUCCUAUUUCCCUGUUUCUGUACUGGGCUGCAACAGACUGGGGAGAAGAUCAUCUGCAGUCCCUCCAGCAGUGGGUUUCAUGGGUCUGUUUUGGUCUCCAGUAUUUUAGAGGUGGGACACAGUUCCCUCUGUCACAGCCCGGCACUGCACAGAGCACUUCUCAGUGCUCAUCAGCGCUGCCCUGUAACGCUGCUGCAGGGGCCGUGCUGCUGCACCGUCCUUCAGACUUCCAUAUGUAACAACAAUUAUCAUCCCUGCAGGGGCAGUUAAUCAAGCAGAAAGUUUCAGCGGACCCCUAAGUACAAUCCGUAAUUACCUAUACCUCCUCAAGAUUAGGUCUCUCCAUCUAAGGAAUAAUACAAAUUUUCAGUUGCUAGUAGUUUGACUUUAUCUAGAAUGAAAAAAAGGAACACCUUAAUACCUAUGGAGAAAAAAAUAUUUGUAAAGAACAGAAUUAAAUUAAGAAAAGUAAAAUUUAGGAUGAAUGUCAGGGGUGAAAAAUGCCAUAGUAAUAUUUGCUAAACUGUGGAACAAUCUCCCAAGGAGAGUGAUGGAGUUCUGGGGUGUGAAGAACUAAAACUGCAUCAGGCAAAGCCUCAGGCAAGAAAAGCCUGAAGAAGCGGCUGUAGCAGCGCAGAGGUGGUGCAUGGCAACAGAAAGCCAUAGUAUGAGCUUCUGCUCAGACAUUUGCAGUGUAGCAAGUACAUUGUAUGUGAGAAGGCACACUGAACAUACAGGUGUCCUGUACUAAAAUCUGUGCAUAUUUCUUAGGUACAUAUGAUCUGCAUAGUUUGAAAUCCUACCUGCAUUUAAACUAAUGGAAAUUCUACAGGUUAAACACACAUCAAUCUGUCAGGGGACAGAUUGAAUCUGGCCAGUGAAUCUGGCUUCCAAUAUCUUUAAAGAUUCUUCAGGUUUAUAUGCAAGUGACUUUUCAAAGCAUCGCUAUGAGUUAGAACAUGAUUAUUACUGUGUAUUUAAAAUUUAAAAUCCUUUGAGGUUUUGGUUGGUUUCAUUUUGUGUGUGUGUGCUUUUUUUCAUUUGUGGUGGUAUGUUUUUUGUUUGGUUGGUUUUGGGUUUUUUUUGUGUUUUAUUUUGUUUUUUAAGUCUCCUUUUACUUUUACAAUUCUCCCUAGUAUUCAGCUCUAACAUGUACAGGUAGGAAAGGAGAGACAAGAGGAAAGCAUUUCUCACUUGCCAGAGGGAAAUAAAAAUACAACCGGACUUACUACGGAAUAAGAACUAGAUGCAUUUCUCUGCUAUGUUUUAUUUUGCUUGCUUCCCAGGGAUUUUGUUUGUAGUUUGUGGUGGAUAAUGAGGAAGUACAAUACCUCCUGUACUGCAGCCCUCUGGGGAAUCCCUUUUCUAGAGGAAAUUUUGAGCCCAAUAUUAUCACAAGUUAUAGUCCGAUCUGAGGCAGCAUGGCUGCUCUGUGAAUUGGGAACUGCUUGCUUCCCACCGUGCCAUCCAUUACAAAACCAUGCCUGCUGAUUACUUUUUGUGCCAGUGAGUUGUUUAUGUGAUGACAGAAAAACACCCUGUCUGUACACCAAGGUCAGGAUGCGAUGUCCCAUUCACUGUGGAGAUUAGCUCGCCUUGCCUCUUCUUUCUGAGUGGCAGCCAUAGGGAAGAGCUGCAGAUGUUACGAAGGGACACAAUUUUUAUUUAAACAUCAUAAUGUGCUGGUAUCAGAUUAUAAUACAAAUUGAACACUUUUGCAGAGUACCUAAAUUUAGGAAACAUUAUUUUCGCUGCAGUAUUUCUUGGUUCUGCUGUGAUUCAUAAAUACUGGAUUGCCUAGACAUUUAUUCAAAUGAAGGGCAUUGUGAUCAGACAAGGGAAAGUCCACAGAAGCUGCUUCAUAUAAGAUUCAGGCAACUUGCUCUAUGUACAAAGAUUUUACAUUCCAAAACAAAGGCACGGAGAUGUACUAGUCAUGACCCAUUUACCUGUUCUCUGGAGAUUUUUGUGUCUCCAUAAAACAAGAAACAGGGCAGAGAAGCUGAAAGUGAGGAAAUAGUCCAAAUAGACUGGAGACAGAGAAAGUGUGGGAAGCUGAGGGCAAGAGGGCUGGUGAGCUGAGUCCUGGAUGAACCCAACCUACAGGUGGGAGAAUGAAACCAUCUCCAGUGACUUGACUCCUACUGGGCGUGGGGAACACGACCUUCACAGGUAAGCAGGCUUGCUUUAAAGAUACCCUGUGACAACACCAAUUUUCCUUUUUAACACAGAAUACUUGGAGACCCUGCAUUUUGUCCCACCACUUAGAUCAAGGCACUCACAGCCAUCUUUGUCUCAUUCCCUUGCACCAGCCGUGAGGCAAAGGUGAUGGACUCUUUUCAAACUCUUAUCAUUUGUGUCUGUUCAGGUAAAAAAAGUGCCUAUUGCCACUCACCAGAUCCAUGAGAGGGCUCAAAAAAACAGACAUGGAAAAAGCAACGGCUGUAGCUACUGUCCUGGCUCUCCUGUAGAUGUUGGCUUUUCUAUUUGUUCAGGUUAGACUACUGCCACUUCACAGUGCACUGCAUCUGCUGGAAUGAGAUUGGUGCCAUUUGUAUUUAUCAUAUGUAUUUGUACUGAUAUUUCUUAUUUUUAUGUUUUGUAAAGCAUCUCCCCUACAAUUUUUGCUUUUACUGGACUGGCUCAAAGUGAUUCAUAGUGUGCGUUUGAUUAGCCAGGGGCUGCACAAGUUGGGAGACCCAAGAUCUCCCUGGAGCUCUACAGCUGCCUGGGUGACCCGAGGGAGGUUUCUCUCUCAGCCCCACAUCCUUUCAUACUAAUAGUUGUAGAGAUAAUAAUAGAGGUUUGCCUCUUGUACUUAAAAGGACUCCAGACUCUCAGCUGCAAGGUUGUCCUACAUUAUGCAGUGUAUCUAUGUCUCCUCUGGUGUAUCCAAUGCCUUGACAUUAAAGGGUUUUUCCUUGCAAAGAAGGCUUUUAUUUUCUUUUUAAGUUCAGGAAUCAUGAGAUCAGGAUGCUGGGUUUUUUUAGUUUACCACAAAACCAGUCAAUCAGUGAAAGGUUUUAACACAUUUUCUCUUGCUCCAAAGGAAAAAAAAAAAUGUUGUCCACUGCAAUUCACACAAUCUAUUAACUAAAAGGGUUAGACAGACCUUGGGGAUACAACAGGCAUACGUAAUCAACAGAAAAGUCUGUCCUGCCUAGCCAAAUUUUCUCAUGGGGACACAAAUGCCAAAAUGCUGUGACUUUGACGAAGCUGGGGCCUCCUGGUAGCACACAGAUUUUCAUUUGUGGGAAAUGGAGGCAAGGCUACAGCAAAGCAGGGGCUCAAAUCACAGCACACCCCUGCUACACACAGGUUCAGCAAAGAUGCCUGAUCCAGCCAAAAUGUGCAUAAUCAGCCUUGGACACAAGACGAAUAGUUGUGAUGGAAGCUGAAUCUUUCUUUUGUUCUUUAUAUUUUCUGCCUUUUCUUUGGGUUUGUUUUCCUCUCUUUUCUUCCUUUGCAAUUGUCAAGGAAGCAUCUGUGAGUUUUACUAAACAAAUGUUACACAUUAAAAACCCAUUUCUGCCUGCCAGAAAUGAAAAUGGCAUCUUAUUUGAAAACAAUAUGUAAUUGUUAUUGCUGUCUUGUUGCAAGUUACGCCCUUGAAAAAUUACAGGGACUUAUUUAGUAGCAACUGAUGCUGAGGAAAAGCAUUAUAACUAAAGCAGAAAAUUAACUGUUGCUUUAUCUUUGAGAAAUACAAAACACAGUUCCAAACACCAUAAUCCAAAUGGCUGACAUAUUUUGCUCUUAAAUGUGUUUACAAGCACUUCAAGGAAAAAGUACUAAUACUUAAAGGACAGAAUGAAGUUAAAUUAGUUCCGUGAGCGAGGCUGCGCUGGGCCAAGGCCUGUGCUGCAGGGACAGCGAAUCCAGCCCAGCUCCCAACAGGAGGAGGAACGGACCUACUGCAAGUAUUAGAACACCAACUUGGAGAAUGCCUAUAGGUCCAACGCCAAUAUGCAAUGCCUGGAAAUACAAUUUUUACCAAAAGUCGGCACCUUGAACACCUGCACUGCCAGGCAAAACAGCUAACAGUCACUUCUGGAUUUUUAUUGUUAAUUUUAAAUUUUUUCUUCUUUUUUUUUUUUUUUUUCUUUAUUUUGUAUUUUCUAUUAUUAAGUCAUAUUAAGUAACUUAAUUAGUAUUAACAGCUUUUUACAAAGCAGAGCAGGAAACACAGAAGACUGCUCACCAUAGCUCUAUGUUGGAAACCCUUGGAAACCUAGCAUUAAUUUCAGCACACUAUCAAAGCCCCCCCUCUCAGUAGAAAUUUAGCCACUAUUUUUCACAGUUACCUGCUAUUUAUUCAACAAGCAAGUUAAAUGUAAUUUUCCCCUCACACACCAGGGAAAACAUAUAAAUACAUUUUUAUUAUAAAUUAUGGAAAGAUUUUAUA